CCCUUAGAUGUUCUGGGCCGCACACGCGCUACACUGAAGGAGGCAGCGUGUACUCCUGGAUCGAAAGAUUUGGGUAACCCGCGAAUCUCCUUCGUGCUAGGGAUUGAGGUUUGCAAUUAUCCUUCAUGAACGAGGAAUUCCCAGUAAGUGCAAGUCAUAAGCUUGCGCUGACUACGUCCCUGCCCUUUGUACACACCGCCCGUCGCUACUACCGAUUGAAUGAUUUAGUGAGGACUUCGGACUGGGACCGAUGCGGCUUUCGGGCUGCGUCGGUAUUCUGGAAAGAUGUCCAAACUGUAUCAUUUACAGGAAGUAAAAGUCGUAACA
rnacentral:rRNA from 1 species